GAUCUAGCCAUGAGCAGGUUGAAGUCUAUGUAAGAGUAGAUGGAGGACCGAACGAAUGAAUGUUAAAAAAUUCUUCGAUGACUUGUGGCUAGGGGUGAAAAGCCAAACGAACCUGGAGAUAGCUGGUUCUCCCCGAAAUAGCUUUAGGGCUAGCGUUAGCAGAAGAAAUUUAUGAAGGUAGAGCACUGAAUGUGUGAGGGCCACACCUCGUGGUACUGAUCCCAAAUAAACUCCGAAUGUCAUAAAUGGAUAGCUAGCAGUCAGACACUGGGUGAUAAGGUCCAGAGUCGAGAGGGAAACAGCCCAGACCGCCAGAUAAGGUCCCGAAAUAGAUGCUAAGUGGCAAAGGAAGUGGGGGCGCACAAACAGCUAGGAGGUUGGCUUAGAAGCAGCCACCCUUUAAAGAGUGCGUAAUAGCUCACUAGUCGAGUGCACCUGCGCCGAAAAUGUACCGGGGCUAAGCAUCAUACCGAAGCUGCGGAUUUAGGAGUUAACUCUUAAGUGGUAGGGGAGCGUUCUAGAGUGAAGAAGUAUGACCGUAAGGACAUAUGGAGCUACUAGAAGUGAUAAUGCCGGUGUAAGUAACGAAAAGAGAGGUGAGAAUCCUCUCCGUCGAAAACCCAAGGAUUCUAGGGGAAGGUUCGUCCGCCCUAGGUAAGUCGGGCCCUAAGGUGAGUCCGGAAGGAGUAGCCGAUGGAUAUCAGGUAGAAAAUCCUGAACUAGUGUAUAGACAGAAGGAGUGACAGAGGAGGCUAGGCUUCGCCUUUAAAUGUCUUAAGGUCGAGAUAGCGAUGCAGGCGUGUAGGCAAAUCCGCAUGCCGAUAGGAGUAGCUAUGAUAGGUAAAGGAGUACGAUGUCAGACUCUCAAGAAAAGCUUCUAUGGUUAAUCUAUGCACUACCCGUACCGUAAACCGACACAGGUAGGAGGGUAGAAUAUAUUAAGACGCGCGAGAAAACUCUUGUUAAGGAACUCGGCAAAAUGACCCCGUAACUUCGGGAUAAGGGGGGCUCUUAAUGGAAAAGGAGAGCCGCAGAGAAAAGGCCCAAGCGACUGUUUAUCAAAAACACAGGUCUCUGCAAAAUCGAAAGAUGAAGUAUAGAGGCUGACGCCUGCCCGGUGCUGGAAGGUUAAGAGGAGAUGUUAGGCAACGAAGCAUUGAAUUGAAGCCCCAGUAAACGGCGGCCGUAACUAUAACGGUCCUAAGGUAGCGAAAUUCCUUGUCGGGUAAGUUCCGACCCGCACGAAAGGCGUAACGAUUUGGGCACUGUCUCAACAAGAGACUCGGUGAAAUCAAGCUGCCGGUGAGAACGCCGGCUACCCGCGACAGGACGAUAAGACCCCGUGGAGCUUUACUGUAACUUGAUAUUGGAAUUUGGCAUAUGAUGUAGAGGAUAGGUGGGAGACAAAGAAGCUAGGACGCUAGUCUUGGUGGAGUCGCCCUUGGAAUACCACCCUUUGUAUGCUAGGUUUCUAACCCGCAGAUGUGGAAUCUGGGGGACAGUGUCUGGUGGGCAGUUUGGCUGGGGCGGUCGCCUCCCAAAGAGUAACGGAGGCGCCCGAAGGUUCCCUCAAAAUGGUUGGAAAUCAUUUUAAAGAGUGUAAAGGCAUAAGGGAGCUUGACUGCGAGACCAACAAGUCGAGCAGGUACGAAAGUAGGGCUUAGUGAUCUCUCGGUACCGCAUGGAAGGGCCGAGACUCAACGGAUAAAAGUUACCCCGGGGAUAACAGGCUAAUAGCAUCCAAGCGUCCGCAGCGACGAUGCUGUUUGGCACCUCGAUGUCGGCUCGUCACAUCCUGGAGCUGGAGCAGGUUCCAAGGGUUGGGCUGUUCGCCCAUUAAAGUGGCACGCGAGCUGGGUUCAGAAC
rnacentral:rRNA from 1 species